rnacentral:rRNA from 1 species
GUGGGGAAUAUUGGGCAAUGGGCGCAAGCCUGACCCAGCAACGCCGCGUGAAGGAAGAAGGCUUUCGGGUUGUAAACUUCUUUUAUCAGGGACGAAUCAAGUGACGGUACCUGAUGAAUAAGCCACGGCUAACUACGUGCCAGCAGCCGCGGUAAUACGUAGGUGGCGAGCGUUAUCCGGAUUUACUGGGUGUAAAGGGCGUGUAGGCGGGCUUGCAAGUCAGAUGUGAAAUUCCACGGCUCAACCGUGGAACUGCAUUUGAAACUGUAGGUCUUGAGUGCUGGAGAGGCAAUCGGAAUUCCGUGUGUAGCGGUGAAAUGCGUAGAUAUACGGAGGAACACCAGUGGCGAAGGCGGCCUGCUGGACAUUAACUGACGCUGAGGCGCGAAAGCGUGGGGAGCAAACAGGA